UACGGAGGGGGCGAGCGUUGUUCGGAAUCACUGGGUGUAAAGGGUGCGCAGGCGGCCGAGCAAGUCGAGUGUGAAAGCCCCGAGCUUAACUUGGGAAUUGCGCUCGAAACUACUUGGCUGGAGUGUGGCAGAGGAAGGUGGAAUUCCAGGUGUAGCGGUGAAAUGCGUAGAGAUCUGGAGGAACACCGAUGGCGAAGGCAGCCUUCUGGGCCAACACUGACGCUCAUGCACGAAAGCGUGGGGAGCAAACAGG
rnacentral:rRNA from 1 species